rnacentral:rRNA from 1 species
CCUACGGGUGGCAGCAGUGGGGGAUAUUGCACAAUGGGGGGAACCCUGAUGCAGCGACGCCGCGUGUGGGAAGACGGUCCUCUGGAUUGUAAACCACUGUCCCCAGGGACGAAAAUGACGGUACCUGGGGAGGAAGCUCCGGCUAACUACGUGCCAGCAGCCGCGGUAAUACGUAGGGAGCGAGCGUUGUCCGGAAUUACUGGGUGUAAAGGGAGCGUAGGCGGGGAUGCAAGUUGGGUGUCAAAACUACCGGCUCAACUGGUAGUCGCACUCAAAACUGCAGCUCUUGAGUGAAGUAGAGGCAGGCGGAAUUCCUAGUGUAGCGGUGAAAUGCGUAGAUAUUAGGAGGAACACCAGUGGCGAAGGCGGCUUACUGGACUGUAACUGACGUUGAGGCUCGAAAGCGUGGGGAGCAAACAGGAUUAGAUACCCCUGUAGUC